CUGCACGCGCGCUACAAUGACUAAUUCAACGAGUAAUUCACCUUGAUCGAAAGGUCUGGGUAAUCUUGCAAAAUUAGUCGUGCUGGGGAUAGACUAUUGUAAUUAUUAGUCUUCAACGAGGAAUUCCUAGUAAGUGCAGGUCAUCAACCUGCGCUGAUUACGU
rnacentral:rRNA from 1 species